UAAGUUGUCAGCAUGUCUAUUGUUGGCAUCUU
rnacentral:piRNA from 1 species